UACGUAGGGUGCGAGCGUUAAUCGGAAUUACUGGGCGUAAAGCGUGCGCAGGCGGUUUUGUAAGACAGAGGUGAAAUCCCCGGGCUUAACCUGGGAACUGCAUUUGUGACUGCAUAGCUAGAGUACGGUAGAGGGGGAUGGAAUUCCGCGUGUAGCAGUGAAAUGCGUAGAUAUGCGGAGGAACACCGGUGGCGAAGGCGGCAUCCUGGACCGACACUGACGCUGAUGCGCGAAAGCCAGGGGAGCAAACGGG
rnacentral:rRNA from 1 species